rnacentral:rRNA from 1 species
AUUGAACGCUGGCGGCAGGCCUAACACAUGCAAGUCGAACGGUAACAGGAAGCAGCUUGCUGCUUUGCUGACGAGUGGCGGACGGGUGAGUAAUGUCUGGGAAACUGCCUGAUGGAGGGGGAUAACUACUGGAAACGGUAGCUAAUACCGCAUAACGUCGCAAGACCAAAGAGGGGGACCUUCGGGCCUCUUGCCAUCGGAUGUGCCCAGAUGGGAUUAGCUAGUAGGUGGGGUAACGGCUCACCUAGGCGACGAUCCCUAGCUGGUCUGAGAGGAUGACCAGCCACACUGGAACUGAGACACGGUCCAGACUCCUACGGGAGGCAGCAGUGGGGAAUAUUGCACAAUGGGCGCAAGCCUGAUGCAGCCAUGCCGCGUGUAUGAAGAAGGCCUUCGGGUUGUAAAGUACUUUCAGCGGGGAGGAAGGGAGUAAAGUUAAUACCUUGCUCAUUGACUU